CCUGGUGGCUCAGAUGGUAAAGAAUCUGCCUACAAUGCAGGAGACCCAGGUUCGAUCCCUGGGUCAGGA
rnacentral:tRNA from 1 species